rnacentral:RNase_MRP_RNA from 1 species
GGUUGUGAUUAAGAAUUACGGCUAAGCACUCACACAGAUCCCAUGUUUAGGAUCAGUACUCACUGCUUAGGGGAAAGUCUCCGAGCCACUAAAAAUACCUAGAAAGUAGGGCCCUUGAUUGGGUGGGUCGAGCAUCACACCGGCAAGAAUGAGGGGGGGCAGGGGAAUGCGAGGAAGGGUAAAACUUUCUUUGGCGCCUUUGAAACUUCUCUAGCCUACAGGUGUGGUCUCGACUUUUAGCUAUAUCAAAGUUAUGUAAUUGCUGCACUUCCCGAAUGCUUCGGCAAUCUCUUUGUGCAGUAACAGAAUGGAGCUCACUCUGAUUACAAC